AUGGGUUCACCAUUUUCAUCUCAGACUCAAGAGAUGAUGUAUUUUGAUGUUGCUAUGUAUUUAUAUGAUGAUUAUUAUGCAUUUUGGACUGAGUUUGGUACAAAAAUUGGAACUGUUAUGGAGUUGGACAUUGCAGGAAUCACAACUGAGAAGUUGCAAUUUUGCGAGCAUCGUCAGGCGAGCUUGGGGCGAGGAGAGCAUCCAAGCAUCGCCGAGCGAGACAAGUAG